rnacentral:lncRNA from 1 species
CCUUCCCUGACUUGGCACCAAAUCAAGAAGUGGCACAUAAUGUAUUGUGUUUAUUAUGCAUCAUUUUGCCGCUGACACUGGGGCCAUCAAAUAUUGGUAAAUUUACAGCCAGGGAGGUCCAGCAUCAUGCCUGAAGUGAAGGACAAAGUAUUGUGUUAUUCAUCUCCAGGCUCUGGUCCUUUGUGAUCAGACAGUGAGCAAUAUACUUAUCAAAGUCAAAAUAACCUUCACUUUAGGAAACAUACUUGUCCUUAAUUGCCAGAAUAAGAAUGCAUAAACAGCUUCUCUCUUGAUAAUGGAAUGGAGCCUGAGUUGAUGUGCUGGGCCCUGCCACAGGUCUGAUCGAUUUCAUCAGUUUCGCUUUUGUCUCCACUGUCCCCCAGCUCACAUUCAGGGUUGCUUACCUGGCCACAGACCCCUUGGCUCACUCAACUCCACAAGUGGCCUGACUAGUUCUCCCAGUGGAAAGGAGCUAAAAUGAUGUGGGUCAUAUCAUCUCCUUUCGCUUGGGUGCAGGGGUUCUGAAUUACCAUGUACCUGGUUCCCUGAAUUACCAUGUACCUGCUUUGGACUUUCACCUCAGUGAAAAGUUUAUGGGAAUUCCUUUAAGAUUUCAGCAGAAAGCAUGGUGGCUUGGUUUGAAAUACAUCUGUACAAAAACAAAACAAGCAGCAACAAUAACGAUAGCAAACUGAGAUCUGGAUAAUGGAAGAAGCCAGCCACACAAAGAGGAAAGAGUGUCCCCCACCUCUCUCCUUUUGGGUGUGCCAGAGAAGCCUGCAAUCCCACUGCUUCUAACAGCCUUCUUGUGACUGAGGUAAGAUAGUCUUUGGGGAGAAGCAGAUCAUAGAUAUGGCAGAAAAGGGAGAGAAAAUGGGUCUUGGUAAACCA